rnacentral:lncRNA from 1 species
ACAUGGAAGCAUGUAGAGUUUUGGACAACGUUUUACAUGUUAUGCAGGUGGUGGAGUAGACAAGAGUUGACCUAACAAGGAACAUGCGAAGCGAUGUAACGUCCCUCUCCUUCAAGCUCCUACUUCAACCUCAAACACAACGAAGGAGCACAGUUACUCACUUUAGAAAACAAACAAAACAAACCAAAAGAAAACAAAAAACAAUAAAAUAAAAUAAAAAAUCGAUUCAAAUCGCCCCAAGAAUGCCUCAACUUCACUUCGUAAGAAAAACAGAUCAACACAGA